GGGAUUCUGGCCCAGGUACCACACUAAUAAGUGGCAUUACUGAAAAUUGAACCAGAGCAGUUUGGCACCUGAGAUAAUGUUGCCAAAACCCAGCCUCUAUGCACCAGGGUGAGAGGGAUUUCAGAGUUUUGGGUGAAGGAGAAAAGAAUAGCUUUAUUGCUUUGUGAAGCAAAGGGACACACACCCUGCUAAAAACUGUAUGUCCUCCCAGGAGGAUUUGGUGAGGAGUUUUAUAGCAAUGGUUCAAGGACGGGAUUGUCGAUAAGGAUCAGGAUGUGUACAGGGUCUGUAGUCCUUUAAUCUGGCCUCAGGUGGUCUCCUGAUUGAGCUUUUGUGGUUCUUGAGGUUAACAAACUGUGACCUUCUCUAUGGAAUGAGGACUGUUUCAUUAAACAGUUAACAUUUUCCAUUUGUUGGGGGUUUUAGUUCUGCACAAGAGAACAAAGAUAAUUGUUAUGUAUAUCCCUUGAAGAGGAACCAGGACCCUGCCCCAGGGCUCCAUGUUGUCUCUUGAUUGCCCCUCCCUUUUCUCUGCAUCCUCUCCCUUUCCUGAUUAGCAGUGGUUUGAACCUUAGAGAAAGUGGAGGAGGCUGAAACCUAUUCCCUACAAACAAGAAGUGUGAGGACACAAAAGCUUUCAUGUCCAGAGCCCUACAAUGUCCUGCUUGGUUUCAUUAGCAAGCUUUUACUCACACUUGAGAGUACCUUGUGUAACAGGAAGGUAGGGUUCCCUACUUCCUCCUCAGAUACCCCUUAGAAGACUGGUUUCUCUGCACAAUUUCUCAUUAUAUGUAGGAUGGAGGCAAACCUAUGGCAGUUAUUACUAACAGAAUUCUAUUAUUGUUUUGAAUUUGGGAGAAGGAGAGGCCAGAUAGCAUUUGUUAACACAAGGAACAACCUAUGUUGAGUGAGCAUUCCCUAGAAGAGUAUAUCUCUGAGGGAAAUCCCUGUAUCUUAUAUUUUUAUGAUUCUAUCUGGGAUGCAACAAAUUCUGUGAAGAACAGAACCAGAGGAACUUGGCUUCUCUCCCAGUUUCCCAAUGUCAGUUCUCCCAAGACCUUCCGGUGACUGGGUAUGCUCUGCACUUGUCUCACUUCCUGUUCUCAGUGAGGAAGAUGAGAAUAACAAACAGUAAAGGUGGCCUGAACCCCUGAAAACUCUGCUUUUGAGAUAUCAUGGAGAUCUUUCUGACUUCUAAACAGGUCACAUCCUGCCUUGCUUGUUACCUGAGCUGAUUGUUAUCAACUUUGUCUGCCUUCCUCCUUUCUGAAGAACUCUUUUCAACAGAAUCUUUCUCUUUUUGAAAGCAGGAGGUUGAAGAGCAAUGUGUAGUUCCCAGGAAGAAAUUUGUAUGUGCUGUAACUGUAGAAGUUUGCUUUAUGCAAGUACUAUUCCAGCACUGAUGAGAUGGUUUUGAGAAAUAUUUGUCAGUGGCUUCCAAGAGCCACAGACUUCCAGAUUUAUGGGGUAAAUCCACAAUCAUUAAUUGCUUUGAAAAACAAAGUCCCUUUAGCUGUUUAAAUGUCAUACUUGAAAAGAUUUAAAAAUGGCCAAGUUUUGAGAGGCAGGGUGGAGGAAGAGUAGGGGGACACGCUUGCCCUCUCCCACAAACACACACACACAAAAACACAUCUGCAGGAUAAAUGACUCACACAGAACAGAAACCAAUCACUGGCAGAAGAACCUAAACUCCAGUAAUGGCAAGAAUUUCGUGACAUUACUAGGUAAAAUAAGAGAAAAGACGAGAGUGAGAGAAGGUGAAUCUGAGCUGGACAGGUGCUCCUGAAAGGGAACUGUGGAGGAGAAAAGGAUCCCACACCCUGGAAAGUCACUUACUUGAUGGAAAGAUCAACUGAACUGGAGGAAUCUCCAGAGGCAGAGAAGAGUAUAGCAGUAAGUCAGAGUUCUGAAAAGCAGAGCAAGAACCAAUCAGAUCAUCUGAACUACAGGCACAGUCACCAAAAAUUGAGACGCCUGGGUGGGGGCUGGGCACCGAGACCUCGGCUCCAGAGGUUAGUCCCUGGGAAAGGGCUGAGGGAGGGGGGCAGGGUGGAGCAGAGACUGCUUGGGAGGUCUAGAAACUGGUCUGUCAAGUUUGACUGGGCAGAGACUGCCUGGGAGACUAGAAAACAGAGUGUAGCAGGGGGAGGAAGCAAUACGCUAAGAUCGGGGAAGUGGAAAGCCACAUCAGAGGGAACCUGGGAGAAGAGCUGGGUCUGUGCCAGUGUUGGGGAGGGAAGAGAAGAAGGGGUGGGUCCCAUAGAAUACUCCCCAUGCCACAGAGAGCUUACUGGCCCACUGGCUAUCAGAAAGCUGUGCUUCCCAUUGCAUCCCCUACCCCUACCCCCGCUACCCCUUAUGCACAUGCUGGACCUGGGGCUGCCUGCCAUCCGGGAGGGCUGGCCUCAACAAUUGCCAGAAACCUACCACCACAGGGGCUGUCCCUGCCCUGACUUGCUUGCCCUUUGGAGGGCCUACACCCCCCACAGAACAGCACCAAACACUGCCAGCCCCCAGGAAAAGGCCUGCAGCCCAGAAAAGCUAGAACAAGCUUGGCCAGGCUGUGAAAAGAUCUGCCUAAUUCUCAGAAAGUCCUUCCCAGUUGGGCUGCCCUGGGGAAGAGCCUCUUGGGUUCACAGUGGCCCAGCUAGCCGUUCCAGCCCUCAGGGGGUGCCACACUCACUCGGAACAGCUGCCAAGACCACCAGCUCCCUGCAGGAGCCCCCGCAGCCCAGAAAAGCUAGAACAAGCUUGGCUGGGCUGUGAAAAGAUCUGCCUACAUUCUCAGACAGUCCUUCUGAGUCGGGCUGCCCUGGGGAAGAGCCUCUUGGGUUCUCAGUGACCCAGAUAGCUGCUGCAGCACUUGGGGGGUGCUGCACUCCCGCGGAACAGCUGCCCAGCAAAGCCAGCCCCCUGCAAGAGCCCCACAGCCCAAAAACACCAGAGCCAGCUCUGCCCUGCCCAGUGAAAUCUGCUCCCAUGACCUCCCAGUUCUGUCUGCCCUCAGGAAGUCCUCCUUUGCUUCAAAGAGACCCUGUCAGCCCCACCAACACUCCAGAAAAGCCACACUGCCUCCAAAGACUGACCAACAAUGCCAGCUCUCAGGAAACAUUCCAUGGCAGUGACAAGGCAAACACUGCCCGGCCACAGAGAGUACAACUCCCUCAGGAAAAAGGAAACAACAAGCAAGACGAAAAAGCUGAGAAUCCACCCCCAGUUAAACCAACAGGAGAACUCACCUAAAGCAGUCAACAAUGAAAUAGAUCUCUGCAGUCUGACAGACCUGGAGUUUGAAAGAGAAAUAGUGAAAAUACUGAAGGAAUUAAGAGAAGAUGUGAACAGUAAUGCAGACUCUCUCAGAAAGGAACUAGAAAAUAUAAGGAGGAGCCAAGAAAAACUAGAAAAUUCAUUUGCAGAGAUGCAAACUGAACUAAGGGCAGUAAAAACCAGAAUGAAUAAUUCAGAAGAAUGAAUCGGUGAUAUGGAAGAUAGAAUAAUGGAAACACACAAUCAGGACAGCAGACAGAAAACCAACAUGAAAGCAAUAUAAGAGACCUAUGGGAUAAUAUAAAAUGGGCCAAUCUACGCAUAAUAGGAAUUCCAGAAGGAGUAGAAAAAGAUAAGGGAAUGGAAAAUAUAUUUGAAGAAAUUAUCUCUGGAAACUUCCCAAAUCUAAAGGAUACUGAGUUCAAGAUACAGGAAGCACAGAGGGCCCCAAACAAGUUGAAUCCAAAUAGACCCACACCAAAACACAUAAUAAUAAAAAUGGCAAAAGUUAAUGAUAAAGAGAGGAUCCUAAAGGCAGCAAGAGAAAAGCAGAAUGUUACCUACAAGGGAACCCCCAUAAGAGUAUCAGCUGAUUUCUCUACAGAAACACUACAGACCAGGAGGGAAUGGCAAGAGAUAUUUAAAGUGCUAAAAGGAAAAAAAAAAUAUGCAACCUAGAAUACCCUAUCCAGCAAGAAUAUCAUUUAAAAUAGAAGGAGAAAUAAAAAUUUUUCCAACAAACACAAGCUAAAAGAAUACCGCAAUACAAAACCCAGGCUAAAAGAAAUACUGAGAGGACUUCUCUAAAC
rnacentral:lncRNA from 1 species